UUCCGGUUGAUCCCGCCGGACCUGACUGCUAUCGGAUUGAUACUAAGCCAUGCGAGUCUUUGUAGUAAUACAAGGCAGACGGCUCAGUAACACGUAGUCAACCUACCCUAUGGACAAGAAUAAUCUCGGGAAACUGGGCAUAAUUCUUGAUAGAUCAUAAUGCCUGGAAUGGUUUAUGGUUAAAAUGAUUCGUCGCCAUAGGAUGGGACUGCGGCCUAUCAGCUUGUUGGUGAGGUAAUGGCCCACCAAGGCGAUUACAGGUACGGGCUCUGAGAGGAGAAGCCCGGAGAUGGGUACUGAGACACGGACCCAGGCCCUAUGGGGCGCAGCAGGCGAGAAAACUUUGCAGUGUGCGAAAGCACGACAAGGUUAAUCCGAGUGAUUUCUGCUAAAGAAAUCUUUUGCCAGUCAUAAAACCACUGGUGAAUAAGGGGUGGGCAAGUUCUGGUGUCAGCCGCCGCGGUAAAACCAGCACCUCAAGUGGUCAGGAUGAUUAUUGGGCCUAAAGCAUCCGUAGCCGGCUUUGUUAGUUUUCGGUUAAAUCCAUGUGCUCAACGCAUGGGCUGCCGAAAAUACUGCAUAGCUAGGGAGUGGGAGAGGUAGACGGUACUCAGUAGGAAGGGGUAAAAUCCUUUGAUCUAUUGAUGACCACCUGUGGCGAAGGCGGUCUACCAGAACACGUUCGACGGUGAGGGAUGAAAGCUGGGGGAGCAAACCGGAUUAGAUACCCGGGUAGUCCCAGCUGUAAACGAUGCAGACUCGAUGAUGCAUUGGCAUAAUAGCCAGUGCAGUGUCGCAGGGAAGCCGUUAAGUCUGCCGCCUGGGAAGUACGUACGCAAGUAUGAAACUUAAAGGAAUUGGCGGGGGAGCACCACAAGGGGUGAAGCCUGCGGUUCAAUUGGAAUCAACGCCGGA
rnacentral:rRNA from 1 species